rnacentral:tRNA from 1 species
CAAAAUAGAGCUUGGUUAGUUAAGCAUUUCACUUACGUUGAAAAGAUAUCGUGCAAAUCGAUUUAUUUUGA